CCGGGCACACCGAGUGCUCCCGGCCCGCAAGGAGAAGUGAAGCUCUGCCACCGGCAGCGCUCUCGGGCACCUCAGAAAGCAAGUGCUUUCUUGCUGUUUGCAGGCUGUCGAUGGAAGCAGGAAGACUCACAUCUGCGGUGGAUGGAUCAUUUUCCGUGCAGCUGAACUAUGAUCAUGAAAGUCUUUGACAAAUGACCCAAGAAUAAUCACUAAUCAAAAU
rnacentral:lncRNA from 12 species